UACGUAGGGUGCAAGCGUUAAUCGGAAUUACUGGGCGUAAAGCGUGCGCAGGCGGUUUUGUAAGUCUGACGUGAAAUCCCCGGGCUCAACCUGGGAAUUGCGUUGGAGACUGCAAGGCUAGAAUCUGGCAGAGGGGGGUAGAAUUCCACGUGUAGCAGUGAAAUGCGUAGAGAUGUGGAGGAACACCGAUGGCGAAGGCAGCCCCCUGGGUCAAGAUUGACGCUCAUGCACGAAAGUGUGGGGAGCGAACAGG
rnacentral:rRNA from 1 species